UACGUAGGGGGCUAGCGUUGUCCGGAAUUAUUGGGCGUAAAGAGCUCGUAGGCGGUUUGUCGCGUCUGCUGUGAAAACUCGGGGCUUAACUCCGGGCCUGCAGUGGGUACGGGCAGACUAGAGUGCGGUAGGGGAGACUGGAAUUCCUGGUGUAGCGGUGAAAUGCGCAGAUAUCAGGAGGAACACCGGUGGCGAAGGCGGGUCUCUGGGCUGGAACUGACGCUGAGGAGCGAAAGCGUGGGGAGCGAACAGG
rnacentral:rRNA from 1 species